rnacentral:sRNA from 1 species
GCCUGCAGGAGCAGAAGAAAGGGAUGCUGAAGGCCCGGACACUGGAACAAGUUGUUGGACUGUGUGCUGCUGUUGGUAAUAAGUCUCAGUAGACCUGGAACGUCAUCUCACCGAAGUCACCUGGGAAAAUGACUGCUUUCCUUACAACCAAAACAGUCCUGAAACCCUCCUGCCCUGGACCUUCGGCAUUCUGGGUAGUGACGUCUGAGCUUCUAAAGGCUUUGUGGUCAGCAGGGCAGAGGUCAUGCAGCAUUUGGCAAACAUGUGGAACAAGAGUGCCGAACACGCGGGAGGCGCCUGCCCAGGUCCCUCUGGAGGAUGCUCCUCCCCCUGUAGCCACUCCCUGCUGGUGGAGGGAGGAGUUUAUAGGCAAGGGAGUGGGAGGCUGUGUGGAGUCUUGCUGCCCUGGGUCCAGUGAGCAGAAUGAUUUUUGGGAAAGGACACUCAAGUCAGUGGUGAAGGCAAGGCUGGGCUGAAGGAGAAACUGAGGCAGGAGGUUGAAUCGGUACAUCCGGGCAUCAGUAAGUAUCAGUUGGCUGCCUUGGGCCAGGCAGGUCCCAGUGAGAGGUCACCUGUGAGGAUUCAGGAUGUGGAGGAGGGACACCUCCAAGCAGGAGCUCGUGGGGAGCCUGCAUUACCUGCCUGUGGCAUUGCUACUUCUGAUUUGCUUGAGAAGGUCAGUACCUCUGUACUCAGUACCAAAGGUCAGUUUGUCCAUCUGUAAGAUGAGUCUGAAACACUCUUUCUCUCCAGGUGCCUCAGUGGUUGAAAACACUGGCAGAUCGUGGCUGUCUGUAAAUCUAAGCUCCAGGGACACCCUCUUCUGGCCUCUGUGGCCACUAAAUGCAGGUGGUGCAAAGACAUCCCUGCAGGCAAAACACCCAUACACAUAAAAUAAAUUAAUAUUUAGGGGCUUGAGAGACGGCUCCGUGGUUAGGAGUACAUUCUGCUCUUCAGAACUCCCAAGUUCCGUUGCCAGGACCCAUGUUUUGUGAUUCCAGCUCCUGGAGAUCCAGUACCAUCUUCUGGCCUCUGAAGACACCCAUACAUCUGUGCAUAUACCCACACAAGACCCAUAUCCAUACACAUUACUAAAAACAAAAUAACUCUUUUGGGGUGUGGUCAUUCCAGCUUUUCCAUCCCAGCAGUUGGGGUGCAGGCAGGGAGGUCUCUGAGUUGGAGGCCAUACUCCAAGAUAGGAGUUCCAGGCCUGCCAGGAACUCACUGAGAGUUCACGUAGAGAGAUCCUGUUUCAAAUAAAACAAAACAAACUUAAA